rnacentral:rRNA from 1 species
UGACCUAAACCCUCACCAGAGUAACAAUUGGAGGGCAAGUCUGGUGCCAGCAGCCGCGGUAAUUCCAGCUCCAAUAGCGUAUAUUAAACUUGUUGCAGUUAAAAAGCUCGUAGUUGAAUUUUUGCGUGGUGUUAAUAUUGACUGAUGUCGAGAUUGCACUUCGCUUUUGGGAUUUUUCCCUUUUUACUUUGAGAAAAUUAGAGUGUUUCAAGCAGACUUUUGUCUUGAAUACUUCAGCAUGGAAUAAUAGAGUAGGACUUUGGUUCUAUUUUGUUGGUUUGUGAACCUUAGUAAUGGUUAAUAGGAACGGUUGGGGGCAUUCGUAUUUAACUGUCAGAGGUGAAAUUCUUAGAUUUGUUAAAGACGAACUACUGCGAAAGCAUUUGCCAAGGACGUUUUCAUUAAUCAAGAACGAAAGUUAGGGGAUCGAAGACGAUCAGAUACCGU